GUUUGACGUUUGAAUGUUGCAACAACCUGCAGUCAAUUUUUUCUUUCAUUCAAAAUAACUGAUCAAGAAGCAUCAAACGACGAAAUAAACUUGUCUGUGGAUCUAGUUAAUCUGCUCAACCUAUAUGGUGUAUAGUUUGCUGAUGCCUCGUCAGUAGGUUCAGCUCGGAAUCACAUCGGAUAUUAGCACAGAGACGCAUUUAAUAUCAGCGACGGAAGACGCAUUCUCCGAUUACCAGAACCCGGUUGACGAAUCCAGUCAGCUACAGAGUUACAGUGGUGAGGAAAAUUUCAUCGAUACCAGUGAAUCAACGGUUGAGAGUCUCGUUGACGGCAAUUCCUCCGGAGUUAAUUCAACCCCUUUUGAUAAACUACAUUAGUUGUACAUGCCAUGCUGUAUUAUGCUGUAAUAAAUAAUUUAAA